rnacentral:lncRNA from 1 species
CACAGCACCUGCUGCUCGCCCGGCAGGUGAGGGACACACCUGGGACAGGUGAGAGACACACCUGGGAGAGGUGAGAGACACACCUGGGAGAGGUGAGACAGGUGGGACAGGUGAGAGACACACCUGGGAGAGGUGAGAACACCUGGGACAGGUGAGAGACACACCUGGGACAGGUCAGACAGGUGAGACACAGCACCUGCUGCUGGCCCGGCAGGUGAGAACAACACCUGGGACAGGUGAGAACACCUGGGACAGGUGAGAGACACACCUGGGAGAGGUGAGACAGGUGGGACAGGUGAGAGACACACCUGGGAGAGGUGAGAACACCUGGGACAGGUGAGAGACACACCUGGGACAGGUCAGACAGGUGAGACACAGCACCUGCUGCUGGCCCGGCAGGUGAGAACAACACCUGGG